GCAAACUUGGUCAUUUAGAGGAAGUAAAAGUCGUAACAAGGUCUCCGUUGGUGAACCAGCGGAGGGAUCAUUACUGAGUCUCGUACUCCACACCAUUGUGAACAUACCACUGUUGCUUCGGCGGCCGGCGUCCGCGCCGCCGCCGGGGGCACCAAACUCUUGAUUUUCCAGAGGAUCUUCUGAGUCUUACACAAGCAAACAAAACUUUCAGCAACGGAUCUCUUGGCUCUGGCAUCGAUGAAGAACGCAGC
rnacentral:misc_RNA from 1 species